rnacentral:rRNA from 1 species
UAGAUCAGAAGCGAGAAUGUUGACAUGAGUAGCGACAAACAGGGUGAGAGACCCUGUCGCCGUAAGUCCAAGGGUUCCUGCUUAAAGCUAAUCUGAGCAGGGUAAGCCGGCCCCUAAGGCGAGGCCGAAAGGCGUAGUCGAUGGGAACACGGUUAAUAUUCCGUGGCCAGGAGGAAGUGACGGAUCUCAAAGAUUGUCUGCCCUUAUCGGAUUGGGUGGGCCGUUCAGAGGUCCCUGGAAAUAGCCCUCCAUCAGACCGUACCCUAAACCGACACAGGUGGACUGGUAGAGUAUACCAAGGCGCUUGAGAGAACCACGUUAAAGGAACUCGGCAAAAUGCCUCCGUAAGUUCGCGAGAAGGAGGCCCCGUCUGUAGGCAACUAUAGGCGGGGGGCACAAACUAGGGGGUGGCGACUGUUUACUUAAAACACAGGGCUCUGCGAAGCCGUAAGGCGACGUAUAGGGUCUGACGCCUGCCCGGUGCUGGAAGGUUAAAAGGAGGGGUGCAAGCUCUGAAUUGAAGCCCCAGUAAACGGCGGCCGUAACUAUAACGGUCCUAAGGUAGCGAAAUUCCUUGUCGGGUAAGUUCCGACCUGCACGAAUGGCGUAACGAUCUCCCCGCUGUCUCUAACGUGGACUCAGCGAAAUUGAACUGUGUGUCAAGAUGCACACUACCCGCGGUUAGACGGAAAGACCCCAUGAACCUUUACUCCAGCUUUGCACUGGCAUCAGGAUUGCGAUGUGCAGGAUAGGUGGUAGCCUUUGAAGCGGGGACGCUAGUUCCCGUGGAGGCUCCCUUGAGAUACCACCCUUCGCACUCUUGAUGUCUAACCGCGGCCCGUUAUCCGGGUCCGGGACCCUGCAUGGUGGGGAGUUUGACUGGGGCGGUCGCCUCCCAAACAGUAACGGAGGCGCGCGAAGGUAGGCUCAGACCGGUCGGAAAUCGGUCGUUGAGUGCAAUGGCAGAAGCCUGCCUGACUGCAAGACUGACAAGUCGAGCAGAGACGAAAGUCGGUCAUAGUGAUCCGGUGGUCCCAAGUGGGAGGGCCAUCGCUCAACGGAUAAAAGGUACUCUGGGGAUAACAGGCUGAUGAUGCCCAAGAGUCCAUAUCGACGGCAUCGUUUGGCACCUCGAUGUCGGCUCAUCUCAUCCUGGGGCUGGAGCAGGUCCCAAGGGUAUGGCUGUUCGCCAUUUAAAGAGGUACGUGAGCUGGGUUUAGAACGUCGUGAGACAGUUCGGUCCCUAUCUGCCGUGGGUGUAGGAGACUUGAGAAGAGUUGCCCCUAGUACGAGAGGACCGGGGUGAACGAACCACUGGUGGACCAGUUAUCGUGCCAACGGUAGUGCUGGGUAGCUAUGUUCGGACAGGAUAACCGCUGAAGGCAUCUAAGCGGGAAGCCCCCUUCAAAACAAGGUCUCCCUUGAGGGCCGUGGAAGACCACCACGUCGAUAGGCCGGAGGUGUAAGUGCAGCAAUGCAUUCAGCUGACCGGAACUAAUUGCUCAA